rnacentral:antisense_RNA from 1 species
GGUCGUUUCUCUUCGGGCCCAACACGAGCCCAAAAGCUUCCCAUCUUCUCCCAGAAGAUUAGCGGCGGGGGAGGCGGCGGCGACCGGCGGCGACAGGGUGGCCGGAUUUGCGGUCCCGUCUCCCUCUCCUGGGCUUCCGCCACCACCCGCGGGCGCUUCUCCUCCACCGGGAAGCCUGCCGUCGCGCGACGGCGACUCCCUUCGACUGUUCGACGCAAUGCCAGGGCAGGCCUGGUGGAGCGGAGGCGGAGCCGCUUCUUCGCUGCUUGAGGCGAGGCGUUCAGGGUGUUCGGCGAAAUGCUCGAGAGUCGCUUGUCCAGUCCUGGUCGGUGGCGACUUCGGCCGUCGAAGAUCUCGUGGGCGGCGACUGUGCUUCCGCUUCGUGAGCUUCUGAAGGACGCAUACCUUUUGAUACUACAUGCAAAGCAUCAUUCCGAGAGGUGCAUAUAAUUUAGAGCAAUCAUCGGCAUCGUGGUCAUGGUGUGUACAUGCUCUGGAAAACAACAUAGCACGACUGGUGGGUGAUUGGUGCUUGAAGACUUGAAGUAAGCUGCGUAGCGUGUGAGGGCUGCAGGCUGCCAGUGGGAGCUGGCUUAUCAUUUGGGACACCACAGGGGAGACUGGUUCUUGUGUAGACAUGGUCUAUGGACUAUGGAACGGACUGAAGCCACACAGAUCUUCAGGUGCAGCACAAACUGGAGAAAUCCUUCGGCCAGAACAGAAACAGCAUAGGGAACACAAGAUGAUUACAGAAGAUCGGCUGCACAAAGACCAAUUCUAGAAACAGCAUAGAGGCCAUUUCCAGUUCAGACGACUGUAGUGCUGUACUGCUGUGCUGCACGUCGUACACGUCGAAGUCUGAAGAGGAUUGCUGCACUGCAGAUCAAUCAAUGAUUUUCCAAUUUUCGUCAAAACAAGAAACCAAUGAUUUUCCAGGCUCAUGGACACGGUCUACCCAGGCACCCAUCCGUAGACGUGCAAAAUUAUGAAAAACUGAUGGCGAUCUGGCGAUGAAUGAAUGAAUGAUUCGGACCGCCGCUACGUUGUUGCUGCCGACGCGUUCGUUGGCCGUGUGUCCGUGUCUCGGUCUGCAGUCUUCAGUGUCUCAGUCCGAUCGGAAUGAAAUGGAAUGGAGGAGAUGGCGGUGUGAACUGUCCUUGGUAGUGGAGUUGUGGAUUGGCUCGUAUACGACAAAUGUAUUUGGAUAUUUGGCACUUGUUAUCGCUGGAAAAAAUAUAGUCAAGUCGUGUACGAGGAAAACUGCAUGCUACUACCAUACAUACGAAGGAUAUCAAGUUCUUGACAUUUUGAUAUGGAGCAUAGCAAAACUGUUCUAGUUCUCGUUUGAAAUGCGAGAAUGUGUUCACAAAAGGCUGAUUCAUUUUAUUUAAAAUUCACGCAAUAUUCCUCUGUUCGAAGGAAAGGUCUUGUUGUGUUUUUCUUUUUCUUUUUUUUUCUUUUCUAGUGCAGGCUGAUCUGCUGUGCUGAGUGCAGACCGUGGCAGAAGUGAUUUACUUUUCCUUGUAUAAGGGGGUGUUUAAAUCCGGGGUGUAAAGUUUUAGCGUGUCACAUCGAAUAUUAUAUAAGGUAUCGCAUGUGGCAGAGUUUACAUUACCGGUUGACCACUAAAUUUCGAACCCCAUCGGUAUCACCGUUUUCGAUAAAUUUUGAUCGGUUUUUGAU